AAUAAAGAAGAGAAAGGAAAGCCUUCUAAUAUUCAAAACACAUGCAGGUUUCUAAAUAGUAAUAAUAUGAGACGCUUGGAACUGCCGACCCGAGAGCUACCCGUACAGGGCCGGCGGCGGGAGUGGAGUGGGUCGGCGGGGCCGAGCCGGGCUGGGGCCGUGUGGGGGCCGGGCAGCGGCCGGGCCGGAGGACGGCGGGACGGGCUGCACCGUGAGCGCCUAGGAUAAGGCGGCGGCCGAGCACCCCAAGGUGAUGGACAAGAACCUGCGGGAAGGCGGCGCGGGAGGUGAAGUUGCUGCUGCUGGGUGCUGGGGAGUCAGCGAAGAGCACCAUUGUAAAGCGGAUGAAGAUCAUCCAUGAAGAUGGCGAUUCAGAGGAGGAAUGCCGGCAGUACCGGGCAGUCGUCUACAGCAACACCAUCCAGUCCAUGAUGGUCAUCGUCAAAGCCACGGGCAAUCUGCAGAUUGACUUUGCUGACUCCUCCCAAGCGGAUGACGCCAGGCAGCUGUCUGCACUGUCUUGCGUGGCUGAGGAGAAGGGCGUGCUCCCUGAGGACCUGUCCGGUGUCAUCCGGAGGCUCUGGGCUGACUGUGGUGUGCAGGCCUGCUUUGGUACCAGUUCAAUGACUGCUGCCUACUACCUGAAUGACCUGGAGCGCACUGCACAAGGUGACUACAUCCCCACGCGGCAGGAUGUGCUGCGGACCCACGUGAAGACCACGGGCAUCCUGGAGACACACUUCACCUUCAAAGACCUACACUUCAAGAUGUUUGAUGUGGGUGGUAAGCAGUCCGAGCGGAAGAAGUGGAUUCGCCGCUUUAAGAGCCUCCGAGCCAUCAUCAUCUGCGUAGCCUUGAGCGCCUAUGACCUGGUGCUAGCUGAGGACGAGGAGAUGAACCGCAUGCACGAGAGCAUGAAGCUGUUCGACAGUAUCUGCAACAAGUGGUUCACGGACACGUCCAUCAUCCUCUUCCUCAACAAGAAGGACCUGUUCGAGGAGAAGAUCACACACAGCCCCCUGACCGUCUGCCUUCCUGAGUAUACGGGGGCCGACAAGUACGACGAGGCAGCCAGCUACAUCCAGAGUAAGUUUGAGGACCUGCACAAGCGCAAGGACACCGAGGAGAUCUACACGCACUUCACGUGAGCCACCGACACCAAGAACGUGCAGUUCGUGUUCGACGCUGUCACCGACGUCAUCAUC